UACGAGGGGGGCAAGCGUUGUUCGGAAUUAUUGGGCGUAAAGCGCUCGUAGGCGGGACUGGAAGUCCGUGUUGAAAGACCUCGGCUCAACUGAGGGACCGGCUCGGAUACUCUAGUUCUUGAGGCAAUCAGAGGGUGAUGGAAUUCCCGGUGUAGCGGUGAAAUGCGUAGAUAAUCGGGAGGAACACCAGUGGGCGAAGGCGAUCACC
rnacentral:rRNA from 1 species